rnacentral:tmRNA from 1 species
UUACGGACACUAUCGGGGAAAUAAAUCUGUAACUGAGUUCGUUGACUACAUGUGUUUGUGAGAGUCAGAACUGAGAAAACGAAUAGAACACUACGCCCGUAGAAGCCCUGAUUUUGCUCUAGAGGACCCGGGUUCGAUUCCCGGCACCUCCACCA